GAUGAACGCUGGCGGCGUGCCUAAUACAUACAAGUCGAGCGAACGGACGAGAAGCUUGCUUCUCUGAUGUUAGCGGCGGACGGGUGAGUAACACGUGGAUAACCUACCUAUAAGACUGGGAUAACUUCGGGAAACCGGAGCUAAUACCGGAUAAUAUUUUGAACCGCAUGGUUCAAAAGUGAAAGACGGUCUUGCUGUCACUUAUAGAUGGAUCCGCGCUGCAUUAGCUAGUUGGUAAGGUAACGGCUUACCAAGGCAACGAUGCAUAGCCGACCUGAGAGGGUGAUCGGCCACACUGGAACUGAGACACGGUCCAGACUCCUACGGGAGGCAGCAGUAGGGAAUCUUCCGCAAUGGGCGAAAGCCUGACGGAGCAACGCCGCGUGAGUGAUGAAGGUCUUCGGAUCGUAAAACUCUGUUAUUAGGGAAGAACAUAUGUGUAAGUAACUGUGCACAUCUUGACGGUACCUAAUCAGAAAGCCACGGCUAACUACGUGCCAGCAGCCGCGGUAAUACGUAGGUGGCAAGCGUUAUCCGGAAUUAUUGGGCGUNAAGCGCGCGUAGGCGGUUUUUUAAGUCUGAUGUGAAAGCCCACGGCUCAACCGUGGAGGGUCAUUGGAAACUGGAAAACUUGAGUGCAGAAGAGGAAAGUGGAAUUCCAUGUGUAGCGGUGAAAUGCGCAGAGAUAUGGAGGAACACCAGUGGCGAAGGCGACUUUCUGGUCUGUAACUGACGCUGAUGUGCGAAAGCGUGGGGAUCAAACAGGAUUAGAUACCCUGGUAGUCCACGCCGUAAACGAUGAGUGCUAAGUGUUAGGGGGUUUCCGCCCCUUAGUGCUGCAGCUAACGCAUUAAGCACUCCGCCUGGGGAGUACGACCGCAAGGUUGAAACUCAAAGGAAUUGACGGGGACCCGCACAAGCGGUGGAGCAUGUGGUUUAAUUCGAAGCAACGCGAAGAACCUUACCAAAUCUUGACAUCCUUUGACAACUCUAGAGAUAGAGCCUUCCCCUUCGGGGGACAAAGUGACAGGUGGUGCAUGGUUGUCGUCAGCUCGUGUCGUGAGAUGUUGGGUUAAGUCCCGCAACGAGCGCAACCCUUAAGCUUAGUUGCCAUCAUUAGGUUGGGCACUCUAAGUUGACUGCCGGUGACAAACCGGAGGAAGGUGGGGAUGACGUCAAAUCAUCAUGCCCCUUAUGAUUUGGGCUACACACGUGCUACAAUGGACAAUACAAAGGGCAGCGAAACCGCGAGGUCAAGCAAAUCCCAUAAAGUUGUUCUCAGUUCGGAUUGUAGUCUGCAACUCGACUACAUGAAGCUGGAAUCGCUAGUAAUCGUAGAUCAGCAUGCUACGGUGAAUACGUUCCCGGGUCU
rnacentral:rRNA from 1 species